AUGAGGGUCUGGACAGGACUGUACAACAGGUGUCUCACAACUUCUGCUUGGGUUCAGGAAACAUUAAAGCCAUUAAUAACUCCUGAACCCAGAAGCCCAGAACUUCCUGUAAGACAAAUGAGGAAAGAUUACGGCACAGUUCUGAGUGUUAAUCCAUGUGAAGGCUGCCUCAAGAAAGCUGAUUCCCUUAGGCAGCACCUGGUACCAGAGAAAUUCACAGUGCCUGAAGCUGAGAUCUGGGGUUCCCAUACCCAAGCCACAUCAAGGAACUGGAAUCUGGGAGAAAGGAAAACAGUACUAGAAGCAGAACAAGAGUGUGGGAUCACUCCUGGGUGGUACUGUCACCUCAUUUGGACAGUUCACUGCCUAGAUGUGCUGAGUGUGCAAAUUCUGUCUCGUUGCCUCAUCCAGUGUUUCUCUGAAUAGAAGCAAAUAUCUGGGCACCAGACGUUUCUCCGCUUAGCCAUUAAACAGCUUUACCUUUGAUGACGUGGAUAUGGAUGAGCACAAGGAUCCACUUGGUCCCUUUGGUCACUUUUGCUUCAGUGAACUCAGUGGGAUGUCCAAGAAGAAACCCUUGUGUUAGGAAGAGUUCUAAGAAGGUUUCAAAGAUCCCUUCUUUUGCUAGUCACACCCUUGUAUAAACUGCUCCCCUUGAGUGUAAGCUGGACCUCGUGAUUUGCUUCAUGACUAAUAGAAUAAGGGAAAGGUGAUGGGAUAUCAUUUCCCUCGUUAGUUUACAAGAUUGUGACUUCUGUCUUGCUAGCAGACUCUCUCCUGGCUUUGAUGAAGCAAGCUGCCAUGUUGGAGAGGCCUACAUGACAAGGAACUGAAGGUUGCCUCCGGCCAACUCCAGCCAACAGCCAUCCAGGAAUUGAGGCUCUCAGUCCAACAGGCCUUGAGGAACUGCAUCCAGCCAGCAGCUAUAGAAGUGAGCGAAGAAGUGUGUAUUUCCCCAGUCAAGCCUUCAGCUGAGACCCCAGCCCCAGCUGCCACCUUAAUUGCAGCCUUGUGAGAGACCUUGGAGCAGAGAACCCAGGUAGGCCUUGCCUAGAUCCCUCACCAACAGAAACUAUGAAUUAAUAAAUACUUGGUUUUUUAAGCCA
rnacentral:lncRNA from 1 species